ensembl:bidirectional_promoter_lncRNA Gm31510 predicted gene, 31510
CUUAGCAGGCAAUUCUUCUAUAAUUGGUUACUUUUGAUGUCUUUAGCCAGUGGGCCUAAAUGCUAUUGGGUAUGGGACACCCCAGAGUGUGGACAGAAAUAGACUCUUGGAACUGCAUUGAACCCCAGACCUUUCAAAGCACCAUAAUUGUGGGACAGCAGAGAGGAAGAGGAGAGACUCCAUUGCUCUCCGGUUUUCACCCAGUUGUCACGUUACCUCAAUAGAGUUUCUUCUCAAUA